rnacentral:rRNA from 1 species
GGGUUUGACCCUGGCUCAGGACGAACGCUGGCGGCGUGCCUAAUACAUGCAAGUCGAGCGGACAGAUGGGAGCUUGCUCCCUGAAGUCAGCGGCGGACGGGUGAGUAACACGUGGGCAACCUGCCUAUAAGACUGGGAUAACUUCGGGAAACCGGAGCUAAUACCGGAUAAUACCGAGGACCUCAUGGUCCUUGGUUGAAAGAUGGCUUCGGCUAUCACUUAUAGAUGGGCCCGCGGCGCAUUAGCUAGUUGGUGAGGUAACGGCUCACCAAGGCCACGAUGCGUAGCCGACCUGAGAGGGUGAUCGGCCACACUGGGACUGAGACACGGCCCAGACUCCUACGGGAGGCAGCAGUAGGGAAUCUUCCGCAAUGGACGAAAGUCUGACGGAGCAACGCCGCGUGAACGAUGAAGGCCUUCGGGUCGUAAAGUUCUGUUGUUAGGGAAGAACAAGUACCGUUCGAAUAGGGCGGUACCUUGACGGUACCUAACCAGAAAGCCACGGCUAACUACGUGCCAGCAGCCGCGGUAAUACGUAGGUGGCAAGCGUUGUCCGGGAAUUAUUGGGCGUAAAGCGCGCGCAGGCGGUUCCUUAAGUCUGAUGUGAAAGCCCACGGCUCAACCGUGGAGGGUCAUUGGAAACUGGGGGAACUUGAGUGCAGAAGAGGAAAGCGGAAUUCCACGUGUAGCGGUGAAAUGGCGUAGAGAUGUGGAGGAACACCAGUGGCGAAAGGCGGCUUUUCUGGUCCUGUAAUUG